AGGUCAAAGAGGACUUGCGGGCUGUGAAAGCAGGAGCUCUUAACACCGUGGCUACAGACCACGGUUGUCCCUAGAAUGGCAUCGUCACUGAACGUGCUGUCCUGAGGAGGGGUGGCA
rnacentral:snoRNA from 1 species